CUGGGAGAAGAGGAGAGAGACGGACCCAAGAGGGAAGAAAAACAGGGGCAACGGUGGCAGCGGGGGUGGGGGAGGAGGGGCCAGGCACCGCCCCGCUCCCUCGGACAUCCCCAAGGGGGCCCCGGCUCCGUCAUCCAGCUCCAGAGGAGCCGCCGCUGGUGGAUCUCGGGCACCGGAGGUCAGCAGGUCCGCACUGGACACUUCUGACGUCAUUCAAGUGUAAACUGAAGCCGGUGCGAUGAGACACGUGAAGAAACAGGGUCUGCAGGCUGCUGGUAGGAUUUCUUCCCCUGGGUCAUCACUAAGGCUUCACUUCCAGUCUUUGAAGACCUCAGCCCUCGGAAAGAAUGGCUGGGGCGGGGGGAUGAAGGGAAGUGAAGGGUGAUGAGGUGGAAACCCCGCUACCCAAGACCCCGGUCCUGGGGGCAGGCUGUUCAAGUGGCCCAGCGGAGGCCUGCAGACAAGCAGGAUUUAACAGGCGGGAGGCUCAGAGAUGAUAAAAGAAGAGCCCCAGAGAGCACCGCCAAGCUGCAGGGCCACAGUUCCGCGGUCACGCAGGUGUCCUGCUGGAGCCCCGCCCACCGUCCUCCGGGAGCUGCGGGGCUGCAGCAGGGACAGGGUCCACCCGCCCCCAGCGCGCAGAGAACGUCUCCAAGCCUUGCACAGAAAAAGAACAAAGGAUAAAAACUAGAAAAGACACAUUCUGAUGACUUCUCACUAAAAACUGGUGAACAGAAUACUAAUAUUCUGCCGCCCCCUUGGAUUUUUCUAGGAUGACUUCUGAAGAUUAUGCAGUAAGAUCUUCAUGCAAAGCCGUUUACAGCGUUCAGUUGCCACGUUCCUUUCCAGCCAAGACAAACCCUCAGAUGCGAGAACAAGCACAGCAUCGUCUGUCAACUCAGGGACGCUUCCCUUUCGGGAGAAUUCUGGUCUACUUUUUAUUCUACCCCCAGACUUUUGGUGGCAGAAAAGCCCUUCCUGAGAGGCUAACGAGAAGAGGGCACUGGGGGCUGGGAGGGAAAAGGAGGUGAGGACGACUGCAGAAAGGACCCCGGCGUCCUCGCCCUCUCCUCCCACCAUGACCUGCCCAGGGCUGCAGGAGGUGCCCGGCCUCGGGCCCCUAGAAAAUUGGACGGCGAGUUCCAGGGUGACAGGGCUGCGUCACAUUCCUCCUGCGUCUAGCACAGGAAACUCGACAAUCACAACCAAAGACUAAUACGGAAGCCACGUGACAUAACGGAUAGAGGAGGUGACAUACAACUCCGCAGACAAGGCCCAUGUCCACCGAGGAAGUGACCCUGCCUGGCUCUCAGGCCUCCCCGGUUCGCCACCUCCUCCCCCACCGCCGUCCCCAGGGACCACCGUGCCCUGGUGUUGCAUUUAUCCACAUCUGCCAUUGCCUACAUGCUUGCUUGCGUUUCUCUCAUCGAGCCCCUCCAUGAGGAUGUUGGCUCCAUGAGGACAAAGACGCGGUCUGUCUGGUUCACCACCAAGACGUAGCGUGAGGCCCAGCGCACAGGAGAUGCUCAACCUGUAUCUACCAAGUGAGAGGAUAAACGAGCGCAGCAGCGCAAACAGAUUCCUCCAAGUCUGGCUGGGCUAAUCAUCCUGGCGGCUGUCUGCUGCCCAAAGGUACCCUGGACACCUGGGUGACAACGUGGGGAUGUCCCCCUGGGGCCAGCCGGCCCUGGGGACAAGUAACCAGCGGUGUGAGGCGCUCACUGGCUCUCUGCAGCUAGAGCACACGCCCGGCCCUCCCACAGAAGUGGCCCUGCCAGCCCCACUGUUUCACCUGGCGCCGGCAGAGGGCUGGCGGAGAGGGACAGCAGAGCGACGUGGCCGCACUGAUGCAAACCAACCGAGGCGGCACAGGGAGGACAGUGCCUGACAAAGAGGGGCACAGAGAGACGGCGGGAGAGACGGGCAAGUCUGCGGGCAAAGCGCCGGCAGUGCCACCAGAGCCCCUGACAACCGGCCCAGACGCUGCCCCUGACAUACUCGUCCUCCACACAUGCUCCACCCCAGGGCUUCUCCCACUGCAGGGGCCCCAGAGCCCCCGAGGGCUGGCGAAGACAAGUUCCUGGGCCGCGCCCAGAGCCUGAUUCACCUGUUCUGGGCAGGGUGUCUCACCAGCUGGGUACCUGACACGUGGCCAGUGUGACUGAGGAACAGAUUUCUCUAACUUAAUUCCGUUUAGUUUAAAUGUAAAUCGUCCCGUGUGGCUGAUGGCCACGGCACCGCACGCUGCAGACAGCACACUUCCACCCUCGUGGACACUUCUCUGGACGGUGCCACUCUACAGCAUCGGAGACUGUGCUUCAAACUGCAGCCGCAGCUUCUCCCCACAGCAGGAGGCAGCCAGUUUCAGAGGGAGACCUUUAAAAGGAGACGGCACUCACUUGCCUCUGCACCCUCAUCGCCCUGGGGGAGAUGCGCUCAGGCCCAGAGCACUGCUGCCCGGGCGCUGAUGCUGGCAAGGCCCCGGCGCCCGGUGAGGAGGGCACCGCAGGAGGGGCGGACGCCUCGGGCGGCUCCCCGCAGGCACGUCUGCUUUGGCAUCCAGCAGAGGUGUAACUUCGCUUCUAUAACUCACCUAUAUUCUGCCGCGAGAGGAAAAAAAUACCACUAACUCAAAGCCAAAGGUAUAUCUAGAGCCAUGUGCUGUUUCAGGGCACCCGCUCCACGCCUGCGGGUAGAGAGGCCCGGGGGUACUCACACUGAACACCUUAAUGUCGUUUCGGGUUCUUAUCUCUUCCACGAGGGCCAGCGGUUUUCCUUUGGGUACUGGGAUGGUGCCAAGGACGACAGUCCCCAGGGUGGACAGCACCUGGCGAACGGCCUGGAUGAACGGCUGACUGAAGAGCUCCAUCUUCCCCACCUCGUCGAUGACACACACACUCUGCCCCGGGCCACCUCUGGGACCUGCCUGAGGAUGACAGAGACACUAACUGGGACACCAGGUCACAUGAGGCAACGGGCCCAGGGGUCCCCCUCCCCCACCACUCACCAACUGACCGUCAGAGCAGGGAAGGCAGCCCCACUUCGGGAAGCAGGAGGCCGUCUCUCCGUCCACCCAGAGCAAUCAACUGGCGGGAGAAUCCAGGGGAGCUCCCCUGGAGACCACAGCACCCAGAAAACUCCGUUCCCUGAGCACCCAGUUUCCCUGGCAAUUUCCGCUCUUCUGGAAUGGUCCUGAUAACGACCAAGCUUUAUAUUUAUAGACACCCAGGCAAUAAGCAGGCUUAGAAGAACUGAGGCAGCAGGCCUGGGAGCCCUUGUCAGUUGUUUCGAUUUUGAGUUGUAUGAUGGCCUGUCUGCUGGGAGGAGGUGACCGCUGCGGCCAGAUGCCUGUGUAUUUCCCAAUCUGCGCUACGAGGGUCGGUGGAAAGGAAUGAAAAUGAAAAGAGAAGGAGUCCUGGUUAAAAAAAAAAAAAAAAGUGAGCACGUUGUGCCCUUUAAUCUCAGCUUCCCCUGCUAGUGUCUUUAUACCGAUGCACUUCCACUAUGUCCUUGAAGAACCCUCUAGGAAGAGGUGGGGCAGCCAGCCUCCAAGAGUCCUCAUUAUUCCCAGCUCCUGGGAUGUGCACCCUGUGCAGACCCCUCCCCACAGUACCAAGGUGGGUCUGUGUGAUCACCAGAGACUGACAGCACGCAAAAGAGACUGCUGUUUCUGUCUUGGUCUCAAUCUCUAUCCAUUCAUCCAUCCAUCCAUCCACCUGUCCUGGAUCACCUGCUCACAGGGAAGAUGCCUGCUAUGUUGCGAGGACACGCAGGCAGCUGACGGUGAGGUCCAGGUGAUAAGGAACUGAGGCCUCAUGUCAACAGCCAGGGAGGAUCUCAGGCCUCCCAGCAACCAUGACCGUGAACUUGGAAGCCUCAGGGCACUGUAGCUUCAUGAGAGACCCUGAGCCUGAACCAUUCAGCAAAGCCGUUCCUGGAUUCCUGAUCCAGGGAAACUAAAGACCAGGAAGGGCCCACUGUCGUCGUGCGAGAGAGGUCUAACAAGCACCCAGGCUUCUGUGUUGCUCGUCACUUCCCGUUCACCUCUGAGUGGACCUGCGUGCGUUUGUAUACACAUAGCUGCCCCGUCUCCCCGCUAGAGGCAGAGAUGACGCUGUAUUCAUCUUUUUCCUUCCCAUGGAGUUGAACAGCGCAAAGCUGGGCUGAGGCAGCUGAUGUGGCCCUGCACUGGCAGGGCAGCUAAGCGAGGGAGAGUGAGGGGUCAGUUCCUAUUUCAACAUUUUCUUCAAAAAAUGAAUGCCAGGGCUUCCCUGGUGGCGCAGUGGUUAAGAAUCCGCCUGCCACUGCAGGGGACACGGGUUUGAUCCCUGGUCCGGGAAGAUCCCACAUGCCGCGGAGCAACUAAACCCAUGCACCACAACUACCGAGCCUGCGCUCUAGAGCCCGUGAGCCACCACUACAGAGACCGUGCGCCACAACUACUGAGCCUGCUCGCCUAGAGCCCGUGCUCCACAACAAGAGAAUCCACUGCAAUGAGAAGCCCGUGCACCGCGACAAAGAGCAGCCCCCGCUCGCUGCAACUAGAGAAAGCCCACGCGCAGCAACGAAGACCCAACGCAGUCAAACUGGGGAGAAAGAAAACAGCUAUCGGCCACCCGUGUGUCAGCAUAAAAACAGACACUCCCACAACAGCGAGCCAUCCCAACUGGCCUGCCUCUGAGUAAGGAGUGUCUGGGGCAUUCUGCUGCCCCCAGAGACUAUGAAUACCUGUGGACGCUGUCUUUCCGGAGGCUACAAUCUAAACAGCAAACAGAACUCCACUCCAGCACAUCAGAACGACAGUUUUGAAAGCGGUUAGUUCCGAGAGAAGCAACAUCAAAGCAUGCGUGAGCACCCAUGGCUCUGUGUUUAGUGGGUGCACGUACGCGGGCGGUCAGAUACACGUGAGCAGGUCCACGAUAAAGCACACGGCUCCACAGCCACCCUGCCUGCCUUUCUCUGCGACGUGCACCAAUGAGAGCUCACCUACAUCAUUUAAACUUCCGGACACACACGUAGACAUUAUUUUCUACCAACUGGAAAUGCUCAUUUUAAAACCUUAGCUUAUAUAAAAUCCCCAUUCUGUCCAGAAUUAGGGACUUUCUUUAUCCAGAAACUAUAGGAAUCUCAAAAAGGCUGGGAUUUUUAAUGAAAAAUUGAGUUAUUCACGCUCAGUUGAGACUGAUGUCAGAGGCUAAGCCACUCAGACACCUGUAAACAGUCAGCCUGUUUUUCUGAAUAACACAUGAACAUAUAUGAAUGAGCUUAAUAAAAGAACUACAAUUAUGUUCAGAAUUGUUUCCUUUCUACAUGGAAAUAAAUUGUUUCAAUUUUAAAAGGAAACAAAAAAACCUCAGUGACCAUUCACCCUGUUUUCCAUUAUUCUAAAUGCUCUUCUGAGUUGAUGAAGACACAGGGGUACAGCACUAGGGCCCAGGUUUGAAAACCAUCAGUAGCCUGGCUCCGGCUUCCCCGUUUCCGGCCGUGGGUUCCAGCCGUGGGUACGGAGUAAGGAGCCCGUGCAGGACUCUGGGUGGCUCUGGGCCACGUGGUUAAAAGCACUGAGCACACCCUAUGGGAGCAGCCGUUCUCCGGGCAUCCCCUCCCCGCAGAAGACAACUCAGGCGGCAUCACUGCGGUCCUCUGUGCCAAUCCCCACGCUCUGCUCCUGUGCUUGCAUUUCAGCUCGUUAUACACUUUCACUGUCACAAAGAGUGGGAAAACCUUCUCUGUGCAAAGCAUAUUUCAGUCCCUAUGUUGGUUCUGAGGGAGAAGAUAUUUUCUUGGGAUAGAGUCCUAACGUUGAUAAGCCAGGAGUGAGAGAAGUUAUGAAUAAUGUUAUAGCUUUGGUUACACCCAGCUAGCUUGCUUUCCAGAAAGAGUAAAUCAAUUUAGAGCGACAAUGAAAUACCUCCGUAUCAGCUUUGCUGGAGAGCUGAAAAACAGUGUGAUUCUUUUGGUCCUUUGUUUCAUCCUUAUGUGGACUUUUAAGGAUACAAAGAAAAUGUAAACAUAAAAUAAGCAAUUUCCUUCAACCAAAAUACUGAACGAAGAAAAAGCUAAUUAAAGUUGCCUUUGCCUUAUUCUGAAUUAUUUAAAUAAUACAUAUUUCCAGUGGUAUUAAGGUUGCCAUUUGUUUUUUUUUAAACAUCAGACACAGACUGGCUUCUGAGCUCGCCUGUCUGGGACAGCAAGUCUCAGAAGUGACGGGAGGGAACCAGGCGGCCGUCGGCCAGAAGGUAGGCAACAGAACUGGAGCCCUGCCCCCUGAAUAGCCACAAGUUCUGGGGAAGCUGGAAAGGCAAAUGGUGCCAACAGCGGCCAAGGCUGAGCAAGUUCCUCGCCCCUCUUAAGUCAUUAGCUGUAAGGCAGGGCUCCAGUUAGACUUUUAUGUGUGUUUAUUCCAAGCUUUAAAGUUUUAGGAUCCCUCAGCAGUCCGGUGGCAUGUCGGCCGCGUGUCCCCGGGGAGUAAAACGCCAGGCUGGCGGCCAGGACGAGGCGUUCAGGCGGCCCUGUGCGCCCCGCAGCACUGAGCACGCGCGGCCAGGACGAGGCGUUCAGGCGGCCCUGUGCGCCCCGCAGCACUGAGCACGCGCGGCCAGGACGAGGCGUUCAGGCGGCCCUGCGCGCCCCGCAGCACUGAGCACGCGCGGGGCAGAGCUGCUCCCACCACGUGCCGGAGGCUGGUCCUGAGGCUCUUCCUGGUGUCCCCACGGGCCUCCCCCGGCUCCACACCAGCACCUGACCGCAGAGCGCCUUGGCAUCUUCCAAGCUACGAGAAGGACCCUGGGGCUGACUGUCAGCCCAGGGGGAUCAAGAACCCAGUCCCCCUCGUGAUCCCAGCGCCGUGGGACCGGACUAGAUGUUUGGGCUCGUGGGUCCCAUGACGGGCCCCGGUUCCCAGCGAACACAAAUCAGACUGUUGAUGUGACGUCCUCCCAAGGUCCUGCGCCCAUCACCUCCCUCAACUUCUCAAGAAAAGUGACCAUAACCAUCCCUAUGCUCUGCACCUCCUGGCAGCCGGGACUAACACACUUUACAAGCAUGACCGCCUUCAGUCCUAAUAACUUCACGUAGCAGACAUCGACAUCUCUGCGCUACAACGAAGGAAGGGAAGCCAGGGGGUAAGUGACUCAUCCAGUCCCCGAGCUCCCAAGGGACAGGGCUGGGGAGGCUGACCCAGUAUCACCCAACUCCAUGGCCUCUGCCACCCACCGUAGGCAAUUCCAUCUGCACAGUUUCCACAUGAACUAAGGAAAGAACUGAGUCUCAGAAAGUCAUCUCACCAUGAAGAAACCACUUUUCUCGCCAAUGAGAGAAGGAAGAGUGCCUUAGUUUCUAGGGCCCUACAGAGGUAUAGCCACAAAAACGCUAUUUUUUUGGAUUAAUUAUAUUACUCAAAAAACCCUACCUAUUUGGGGUCCCAGAGCAAAAAUAUCACCAACCUCAUUUUCUCACGUACAGAGAAUGGCCCUGCAGGUGAAGGGGCCUCUACCCUCUGCCAGGAGCUCACCUCUUUGCACACAGUAGAGAAGACAGGAGCGGGCAUCCCAAUGUGCACAGGCUUACCUCGGCGAGAUGCGGAGCUCGCUUCCAGGCACCCGGAAUAAAGCCAGUAUCACACUAAGCUUGGCUAACUGGCACAGGAGGCAUAGCUUUCUGCCUGUCUCGGCUUUCAACGUACCUUCCUCGCUGAGCUUAAUCAUUUCCAGCUUUUGAAAAGUGAAAAGACGUGCAACUCUUCCUUUCACUUGAAUGCUUGGAGGCCGCAAACCUUCAGUUUGUAAAAAAAGGCAGUAUCUGCAAAGCACAAGACAACGAGUAAAAUACAUGAGAUGGGAGAAAAAAUUCUGCUUCAGAAAAGAAACCCAUGGAUAGGAACCUGCAGCCUGGGAAAUUUUCCUACCUAGAAUGUUGAAAGUCUGGGUUUGGUAAUCAAAGUAUAAAAUAUUGGAAGAGUCUGCUUUUCUUUCUUUUUUAACUAAGAAAAAAAAGAGAUUCAAGUUCUUAUUCCGGUCAGUACACGAUUUCUUAUAUAAUCCUGCAGAUAGACGUCAAGGCCGUAUGUGCACACUGCUCUCCUAGGAUUGUCUGCUCUAAGCAAGGUAAGUAAAAAUCAUUCUUUAUAUGGAUCCAGUACCCAAAGCCAGAGUCAUCAUCUGGAAUUUGAUUUGAAGUAUUUCACUUGCUUCUUGAGCAUUUAAGUAGAGAGGUAGGUAUUUGACGGGAAAAGAACUAGAGAGAAAAAUAUCAUGCUUCCUGACUGUUUCCGCACAAGACAACAGGCAUGAGAGUCCCCAGUGCAGGGAACGAAAGUUCCUAGAGGAAGAAAUCAGGAAGAAAGGUGAGGGGAGCAGGCAAGGGGGGGCGAAGCCAAGGAGCAGGUGGGCUUGGAGGGGCAGCAGCCGCUACCAACACAGUGCAACAUCCCGCCGGCCCCGGGAGUCAGAAGCUGCCCUCAGCAGGCAAACCUGACCUUUCCAGCAGCCAAAGCUUUGGCACCUGCCAAAGCCCUCACCGCCCCUUUUAGCUGAGCCCUGAAUGAGCAGAGAGGCCAAGAUAUGAGGAGCCUGCCAACCACAGAAACAGCAGUGCCAAGGGCGGAAGGCUGGGGGCCGGGCACGAGGGGAACAGGCUAAGCCGGCAGGCGGGAGAUGGGGAGGACGGAGGGCAGGAGGCCCGGACAGAGCCGGCCUUCCGGGCCCCGGGGAGGACCUUGGACUCGACUGCUGGUACGACGGAGACCGCCGCAAAGUUGAUAAAGAAUUGCCUCUUGAGACAGGUCCAUACUCUUCAAUCUUCACGACAGUAUUAUAAAUCAAUGGUGUGAGUCUAUAAUAGAUGAUAUAAAACCCAUAUUCCUUAAUAUGCGCCACAAAACCCUGCAUCAUGGGACUCUACCCGGCUCACCCACCGUACCUCCCCCACCUGCUCCUGCCCAGGGCCCCCGGCCUCGGUGUCUCUGCUUCUAUCAUCCGUGACGUUCUCCCAGACACCCCCAUACAACACCCCAGGAUUCCCUCCCGGAAGGGAUGGUGCCCUCUGAUCUUUUCAUUUCAUCCAAAUGUCACCUCCUCAGAGCUCUUUCCUGGUCACCAGGUCUAAAGUCAGUUCCUCCUCCUUCUCUCACAGCACCCUGCUUUUCUUCUUGGCUGCAUUAAUGACAAUUAUACAUUUAUUUGUUUAAUGUCUACAUUUCCCACUAGAAUGAGAGUUUGGGGAGAGUAGAAAACAUGUUUUUUUCCUGACUGUAUAUCUGGGAUUUGAUAAAUAUUUGAUGAAUGAAUGCAAAAAACAAGUAAUACAUAGUCAACAAAACCGAAAGUUGGUUCUUUGAAAAGAGCAACUAAAUUGACAAACCUUUAACUAUUACUGAAGUCCAUAAAGAGAGGACUUAAAUAAUUAAAAUGCAUGAAAGAAGGGAAAAUACCACAGACCUUACAAAAUAAAAAGGAUUACAGGGGAAUAUAUAAACAACCGUAUGCCGACGAAUUAGAUAACUUACUAUCUAAUGAAACGGUCCAAUAAAUUACUAAAAGACACAAAUUACCACAACUGAUUCAACGUGAAAUAAAAAAAUCAGCAGACCUAUAACAAAUAAAGAAAUUGAAUUCAUAAUUUAAAAGAUUCCUAUGAAGAAAAACCCAGGCCCACAUGGUUUCACUGGUGAAUUCUAUCAAACAUUCCAAGAAAAAUUAAUACCAGUCUUUUACAAACUCUUCCAAAAAUUAGAAGAGGAAGGAAUACUGCCUAGCUCAUUCUACAAGACCACAAUUACCCUGAUAUCAAAAUUAGACAAAGAUACUACAAGAAAAGAGAGCUACGGUCCACAUCCCUUAUGAAUGUAGAUGCAGAAAUCCUCAACAAAAUACUAGCAAACAGAAUCCGGCAACAUAUAAAAGAAAUAUACAUAUGCCAUGACCAAGAGGGAUUUAUUUCAAGAAAACAAAGUAGGUUUAACAUCCAAAUACGAAUGUAAUAUACUAUAUUAAUAUAAUAUAGGAUAAAAAUCACAUAGUCACCGCUAUAAAUGCAGAAAAAGGAUCUGACAAAACCCAACACUUCUUCACUUUAAAAAACAAAUGUUAAACCACAAGCUAGAAACAGAAAGGAACAUCGUCAACCUGGUGUUAGCCGUCCACAAACAACCUACCCCUAACAUCAUACGUGACGGCGGGGGAAUGAGAGCUUUCUUCCUGAGAUCAGGAACGAGACCACGAGGUCCACUUGCGACGCUUCUAUUCAUCACUGAACUGAGCUUCUGGCUGAGGCGGUUAGGAAAGAAAACAAAAUAAAAGGCAUCCAAAGUGGACAGGAAAAAGUAAAAUGAUCCCCGUUUGCAGAUGAUAUCAUUUUGUAACUAGAAAAUUCUAAGGAAUUCAUUAAAGAACUAUUAGUUUGACAACUAUUAGUUUGCAGGAUACAAGGUCUAUACACAAAAAUCAACAGUAUUUCUGUACAUUAGUAAUGAACAUUCCAAAAAUAAAAUUAGGAAAAUAAUUCUAUUUACAAUAGCAUCAAAAAGUAUAAAAUAGUAAGGUAUAAAUUUUUUAAAAAGAAGCAUAAGACUUAUAUGCUGGAAACUACAAAACAACAUGGCUGAACGAAAUUAAAGACACUCUAAGUAAAUAAAAAGACAUGUCAUUCAUGUUCAUGGAUCUAAAGAUUUAAUAUUGUUAAGAUAGCAAUACUCCCCAAAUUGAUUUAUAGAUUCAAUACAAUCUCUAUCAAAAUUCUAGCUUCAGUAAUCAAACAGUGUGCUUCUGAUAUAAGAAUAGAUGGAACUGACAUGAGGAUAAACAGAAUAGAAUUGAAAAUCUAAAAUCAAUCCUUAUACUCAUGGUCAAUUGAUUUCUAAAAGAGUGCCAAGACAAUUAAAUGGAAAAAGAAUAGUCUUGUCAACAAAUGGUUCUGAAACAACUGGAUAUUUAUGUGCAAAAGAAUGACUUUCGAUCCACACCUUACAACAUAUACAAAAAUCAAUUCAGAACAGACCACAGACCUAAAUGCAUUAGUAAAACUGUAAAACUCUUGGAAGAACACAUGGGAGUUAAUCUUCCUGAAACUGUGUUAGUAAAGCACCAAAAGCACAAACAACAUUAAGAAAAAUAGAUACACUGGACUUUUCAAAAAUAAGAACAUUUGUGGCCUUUCCUGGUGGUCCAGUGGUUAAGACUCUGUGCUGCUACUGCAGGGGGCACGGGUUCAAUCCCUGAUCGGGGAAGUUUUGCAUGCCGUGCCAUGCAGCCAAAAAAGUUUUUAAAAAAUAAAUAAAUAAAAACAUUUGUGUCAUCACAUCGAGAAAGUAAAGACAACUACAGAGUUGAUGAAUACAGUCGUCCCUGGGCAUCCGCAGGGCACUGGUUCCAGGGUCCUCCCCCACACACCAAAUCCACGGAUGCUCAAGUCCCUCAGAUAAAAUGGCACAAUGGUCCUCCAUAUCCAUGGAACCCCUGGACACGGAGAGCCAACUGUAUACCUGCAUAUCACAUCCAGAUGGCCAAUAAGUACAUGACGAGAUGCUCAACAUCAGUAGGUCAAUAGGGAAAUGCAAAUGAAAACACAGUGCGACAACGCUUCACACCUACUAGAAGGGGUACAGUUACAAAGACAGUAACGAUUAGCAAGGAUGUGGAGAAACUGAAACCAUCAUCCAUUGCUGGCAGGAAUGUAAAACAGCACAGCUAGUUUGGAAAACACUCUAGUCAUUUCCCAAAAAGUUAUAUAUAGAACUACCUCAUGACCCAGCAUUUCCACUCGUAGGUAUACACUCAAGAGACCUAAAAACAGAUGUCUACCCAAAAACUUGGACACAAUUGUUCAGGGCAGCAUUAUUCAUAAUAGCCAAAAAGUAGAAACUCAUCCAAAUGUUCACCAGCUGAAGAAUAGAUAAAUAAAAUAAGGUAUAUCCAUAUAAUGGAAUAUUACACAGCCAUGAAAAGGAACAAAGCACUGAUAUGCACUGUGAUGUGGAUAAACCCUGUAAAUAUUAUGCCAAGUGAAACAGGCUAGUCACAGAAAGACCACAUAUGGUAUCACUCCCUUUCUAGGAAAUCUCCAGAACACUCAAAUCUACAGACAGAGAAGCAGGGUAGUGCCUGCCAGGGGCUGGGGACACAGGAAUGGAGACUGCUUCAUGGGUGUGGGGUUUCUUUUCGGGAUGACAAAAAUGUUCUAAAAUUAGGCUGUGUUAAUUGGUUGCACAAUCCUAUGAAUACCUGAGAAAAAAAUGAACUGUGUAUUUUAAAUGGGUGAACUGUAUGGUAUGUGAAUUAUAUCUCAAUAAAGCUGUUUAAAAAAAUACAGGUAAUACAGUGAUAUAAUGUGUUACGUGCUUACCAUUAUGUUCAUAUGACAUUUUACCUUCCUAAAUGUUUAUGUGCUGUGCUGUGAAAACAGGGUUAAGAUAUACACAAGGGGAAAGCAGAGGAAAGACUCAUCUUUGGGGACCAUGGUAGCUAGGCAUCAGAGCCCUCCCAAUGUAAAAUACUUACAUAUGCUGAAUUUCUGUAACAAGGAGUUUACUUGUAGUUCGGAGUGACAGUAAAUUAUGUGGCAUAUCCUUACUAAGCCUCAACCAAUUGAAGACUUUUAAGCUGUAAAUGCAAAACUGGCCUCUCUAUAAGAGCGAAAGCCAGCAAUUCCCACAAGGCAUGGAGAACAGACGGGCUCAAAAAACCAGAAACACGCACUCACAUUCCUCAAGACAGGAAGCACCAGCUGCUCGAAGGAAGUCAGAUCCACCACAUACUGCCCAACACAGCACUCACGCUUCCCAGGCGGAAGCUCUGACCUGAAAGAAAAGAGAGUACAUCCUUUGUCGAAAGACCCCUCUACUGAUUUCUGGGUUUUAGCUACUCCACUGAGCCUCUGGCCUUCUGCGUGUGCUAAAGCAUCCUUAAAAAUCACCCGAACAGAAAGCGGCAGUGAGCAAAGCUGACCUGAUUCCACACCCUUUCCUGAGAGCAGGGCUAACACCGGUGGGCACACCACCACCCACGGCCCGGCAGCUGCCUUCGGGGAGCUGGCACGUCACCUAUCUUAGAAGAGUGACGUGAGAAACAGGGCUACGAAGUACCAAGUGAGAAGAGCUUACUACUCAGUGGAGUACGUUCUAAGUGGAAUAUGAUAUUUUCAACUUUGUUUUUUAUGUGAUGAUUUCAACCUCUGUUUUCUUUUUCCAAGAAAUCCGUAAAGGCUCAGGAUUCUUCAAGAUAGAAGAGAUCACCUGGCUCAGCCCUGGGCCCAGGGAGAAUAAAACACCACGGAAAUGAAGCUGCAGUACCCAAUCCUGGAUAAAGGUCCGCGGGCACCAGACAACGUGACAACAUCGAACCCUAUUCUUCUUCCUCCCUGUCUGACUUCUUCUGUAUAGAACCCGUCGACAGGCACGCCAGAGGACUUUAAAACUUCACUGACUUUCUGGAUCAACGUUGUUUUUCCAACCCCUAAAAAAAAAAAAAAAAAAAAAAAGCCCAUUAGGAACCACUGCUUUGCUGGAGCACAGGAAUCACCAGGAGGAGAGAAACAGGCUGCAAAUGGAUUUUAUGAAUGUUAAUGUCACUUAAUUUUGACUGCUCCAGGUGUUAAAACUCUUGAAUUUCAAGUAGAAACAAGCAUAAUAAAAAUAUGAAUGGUAUCUUGAAGUUUAUUUUUAAAUUCUGAAACAGUAUUGGUUUUGUCACAUACACCAUCCCAGAACCAGGUGAGUGGUUUGCUGAUAAAAAUCUCAAGUGCAAUUUACAUCCUAG